rnacentral:rRNA from 1 species
AGCAGCAGCCACGGUAAUACGUAGGGUGCGAGCGUUAAUCGGAAUUACUGGGCGUAAAGCGUGCGCAGGCGGUUUUGUAAGACAGGCGUGAAAUCCCCGGGCUCAACCUGGGAAUGGCGCUUGUGACUGCAAAGCUAGAGUGCGGCAGAGGGGGAUGGAAUUCCGCGUGUAGCAGUGAAAUGCGUAGAUAUGCGGAGGAACACCGAUGGCGAAGGCAAUCCCCUGGGCCUGCACUGACGCUCAUGCACGAAAGCGUGGGGAGCAAACAGGAUUAGAUACCCCGGUAGUCCCUGUCUCUUAUAC